CUCACGCGCAGUCUGGCGUUGUCGGCCGACGGGUGUGCAUCUAAAACUUAUUGAAUUGAAGUUUUAUUUUAUUUCGUCGUCUUUACGGCCGUUUAAAUCGUGAUAUCGUUAGUUCAUUUUUUUGUUGUUUGCAAGGACCGUCCUUUGAGUGUUGUAGUUGAGUUCGUAGUAGUAUAUAUUAACAGGAAGAGGAACUGAUUACGCCGGUCGAUGAGCUGCCGUUACUCGUGCUGUGGAGAUCCUCGCAUAGGAUAAUAGCUGGCUGAUGCGACGUGCAAUAAGAUGAGGGGACACGUAUCAACGCGUGACUUCCUUUCGACCAUAAUCCAUAUGGAUGGAACAAGGCAGAAGGACUGAGAGAACAAACCCAAGUCGAACAACGUCGUUCCCCUGGUCCACGUCUCGUUUCGUCAUCGAAUCGUUUUCGUUGACCAGGGACAGGAUUGAUCUUUCUGCGAACAAGUUCACUCGAAAUUCGUGGGUAAUCGGUGUCGGCGGCGAGGAUGGCGAGGAGCAGCGUCACUGCGAACGCAUACCGGCGAUGCACCGAUUGCACCGUCGUCGUUCAUCGCGAUGCCAUUGUCGCAGUUCGUAGUACGUCCCCUCGCGAAUCACGAUCGAUCGGAAUCGGGUACGGUAGAAACGGCCACGGCACUGGUACCUCUGGCAACACCAGCUACUCUACCAAUUUCGAUCAGGGAGAAGGGCACGGCCGAUUAGAGUCGCUCCUUUCUAUAUAACUGCCGAGCAGCACGUGAUUCACAAAUCAAGAGGAGAACGAGUGCAUCUCGCAGAAUGGAUUUGUGCGGGGUCUACUUGUCUCAACUGCGAGCGAUGCUCGUGAGGAAUCUUCUGCUGAAGAAGCGCGACAAGCGGAAGACUACAGCGGAGAUUUUUCUACCCCUUUGUAUCCUAGGCGUGUUGAUCGUGGUAAAAGUAUUGCCGCCAAAUCCAAAUUACCCUGCAAUGACAACGCAGAGACAGGAAGGUGGUAUAUUCGAAACAUUCAAUGGUUACAAGAACAACACUGUCGCUGUUGUUCCAAACUCAACAGAGACCUUGAUUUUUUUAAAUGCAAUGAAUACCCUAUGGUUAUCGAUGUGGGAUUAUCCUGGCAAGCUUCCCUUGAAUUUCAUGGUGUUUGAUACAAAGGAUGAUCUACAAGCAGCGUAUUGGAGAGAUCCAUACAGUGUACCCUUAGCAGUAAUCUUUGAAAAUUCUCAACCUAUAUCUCAGCAUCUUCUAUAUGAGAUAAGAACCAAUCCUUCAUACACAAAUCCGCCUUCACCGACUGAAUUGUAUUCCGCUCCAGUUACUUGUCGGAAAGACACAAGCCAUUGGAUGGGUGGAGUAUUGUCGAUAGAAACCGGUGGAUCAUGUCCUGUAAAUAGUUAUUUACACUCUGGUUUCUUAGCUCUGCAAAUGAUAAUGGAUACCACGAAAAUAAGACUAGACACGCAAAAUACCGAUAUAACCGUACCGAAUGUUAAACUCGAAAUGUUUCCUAAGGAAGCUUUCACUGCAGACUGGAUGCUGGCCUUUAGAGUUGUUAUACCUCUCUUUAUGGUUCUGGCUCUUUCACAAUUCGUCACUUACCUCCUGAUCCUGAUAGUCGGUGAAAAGGAGAAAAAGAUCAAGGAAGGAAUGAAGAUAAUGGGCCUACAAGAUUCUAUCUUUUGGUUGUCAUGGUUCAUUAUCUACAGCGUCUUUGUCUUGUUACUCUCUGCCGUUGGAGUGAUACUACUUUUUACACUACAAAUGUUCCAACAUACCCACUUUUUACCAAUAUUCCUUUUGGUAGUACUUUACAGCUUUUCCAUAAUCAUGUUUGCGUUCAUGAUAACACCUUUCUUUGAUAAGUCACGUACUGCUGGUGUACUUGGUAAUUUUUCAGUAACAAUAUUGAGCUUGAUGUAUUUCAUACAAGUUUUUGUAAAAGAUUCUAGUUCCAUUUCGUUCUGGGUGGUUUCUCUCCUCAGUCCAACAGGCGUUGCUUUAGCGAUGGAUAAGGCUCUCGUGUUAGAUUUACAAGGAGAGGGAGUCAAUUUUGACAAUCUUUGGUCUGGUCCAGGUAUACCUUUCGGAGGCAGUCUCAUUAUGAUGACACUGGAUAUUUUUCUAUACGCCUGUUUAGCGUAUUAUUUUGAUUCCGUCAUUCCAAGUGAAUAUGGAGUUAAAAGAACUCCCUGGUUUUGUUUUACACCCGGAUUUUGGUGUCAGAGAAAAGCUCCACGGACGUACUUACAGGUACCAUCAUCGAAUGGCGAAUCAAAUUCUUUCAUACCCGGUGAAGAGACAAACCGUGAUAUUGAACCAGUCGUACGCGAGAUGAAAGGCCGCGAAGCCAUUAGAAUAGUCGAUCUUUACAAGUCGUAUCAGAAAUGUCGUAAACCAGAGAUUAAAGCUGUGAAUGGCAUCAACUUAACAAUCUAUGAGGGGCAAAUUACAGCGAUACUCGGACACAACGGAGCUGGUAAAACGAGUUUGUUCAAUAUACUGACUGGCCUGACUGCACCUACUGCCGGCACUGCCUUGAUUUUCGGUUACGAUGUCAGAGAUUCCAAUGAUAUGCAAAUGAUACGAAGUAUGACUGGUGUUUGCCCACAACAUGAUAUUCUUUUCGAUCUUUUAACGCCUCGAGAACACCUCGAGUUCUUUGCUGCUGUCCGCGGUAUUCCUAAAUCAAUGAUCGAACAUGAGGUCAAAAAAACUUUGAAAGAUAUCGAUUUAACUGAACAUGCAGAUACUUUCGCAAAAUACUUAAGUGGUGGUCAGAAAAGAAAGUUGUCUGUAGGUAUCGCCAUUAUUGGAGAUCCAAAAAUUAUUAUCCUUGAUGAACCCACAGCGGGAGUAGAUCCUUACUCCAGAAGACAAAUGUGGUCCUUCUUACAAUCCAGGCGUCAUGGGAAAGUGAUUUUAUUAACGACCCAUUUCAUGGACGAGGCAGAUAUAUUAGCAGAUAGAAAAGCGGUUAUUAGCAAAGGAAGAUUAAGAUGUUGCGGUAGUUCUCUAUUCUUAAAAAACAAAUUCGGCAUUGGAUAUCACUUAACAUUAGUACUUGAAGGAAAUGCAAGAGAACACGCUAUUACCAGAUUAGUAAUGUCUCAUGUUUCAAAAGCGGAAAAGGCAAGACGUCAUGGUCGCGAACUAAGCUUCAUUUUACCUCACAAUUCCGUAGAAAGUUUUGCACCACUAUUCUCAGCUAUCGAACACGAAGUUAAGACUCGAUCUAGCAGAUUAGGUAUCAGCAGUUAUGGAGUCUCAAUGACUACUUUAGAAGAGGUAUUCUUGCAUUUGGAAAGAGACGAAGGUACAGAAUGCACGAUGGAUAAUUUGUCGAAGAAAAUGGUGCGUAAUCGUGCAUUGAGCAGGUCAUUAUCAUUACAAUCGAAAAGCACAUUUUAUCAGAGUCUACAGAAUGAAGGUGGUACUGUUCCAAAUGAUAAUCAAGCGAAAGGUGCAGGAGAUUUACCAGAUGGCGUUCAAAAUGAUAGAAACCCUCCUGUUCGCGGCCUUGGAUUAGACCCCAUAAAAAUUAGGCCUAAUUUCCUUCAAACCCUAUACGCUAUGCUUCGCCUAAGGAUACUCAGACUCAUUAGAAACAUUCAGUUACUGUAUUUCACUAUUGUUGCGCCUCUUUUUUUGAUAGUACUUGGCCUCUAUUUAAAUAGCAUUCAAACGGUUGAGGUCAAAAUGCAGUCUUUAAAAUUAGAUACCGAUACCUACGGCAAUGAGACCAAAAUUUUGUAUGCAAACAAUACCGAUCAUGACAUUUCAGAUUUAAUCGAUGGAAUUAGUCAGGAUGUAAAAUACAUUGAAGAAUACUAUGGAAACUUCGCAAACUUGUUGAAGAUUGCACCACAUAUAGCCGCUUUUAAUAUUACAGAGUUCAGUUUGCCCAAGAUUGAUUUAACUAUCGCUUAUAACGACACUAUGCAACAUUCCCUACCGAUCGUGAUAAACCUUUUAUCUAACACCUAUUACAGAAUGAUCUCAGAUAAAGAAAAUUCUAAGCCAAUCGAAGUGAAGUCGCAUCCUUUCCAACAAACAUCACAACCACAGGAAUUUAAUAUUGGUACAGCAAGUUCAGCUGUAUCAAUCGGAAUGAAUUUCGUCUUAUUACCAGUAACGUUAGUCGUAGACAUGGUGUAUGAUCGUGAAAUAAAAGCGAAAAAUCAACUUCGUGUCAAUGGUCUGUCGUUUUCUAUGUACUUCUUGACGUAUUUCAUUGUACUUGUCGGCCUGAUGACAUUCAUCUGUAUAUGUAUUCUUGGCAUUAUAUUUCUCUUCGAUGUGCCUUCGCUUCAAGAAGUACCAGCACUUAUUACUCUUAGCGGUCUUCUGAUGCUCUAUUGCCCAUCGUCUAUCCUAUUCACAACAUGUAUGAGUUAUAUUUUUGACAAGAUGGAUUCUGCUCAAAGUAUUUUGCCUAAUAUCGCAACAUUCUUUGGGCUUAUUCCGUUUAUACUAGUCACAAUUCUGGACAUGCUGGGCCUUAGUGGAACGGCGGCAUUCGUUUUACACGUAAUCUUUUCGUUACUGAACACCCUGUACGUACCGUAUGCUGCAGUAUAUUAUGUAGGAAGAGUUCAUUUGAUGUGCUCUAUAAAUGCUGCUUGUCAUCAUCUCACCAUGUCCGAUUAUUUAACUACGGAAAUUAUUUUAAUGGCCUUUGGCGUGCUUCUGCACUGCCCAAUGUGGUUCUUCGUGCUUCUGAUCUUAGACAUUAGAAAGAGCGGUGGCAAUGUCAGUGAUAUCUUCAAACACUUUCUGCGUAAUGGUGGUUCUGUUGGCGAAGAAAUCAUGGAAAACACGGAUAUCGGAGAACACGAAGACUCGGACGUUAAAGCUGAAAGACAAAAAGUCUUUAAUCUUAUUACUUCAUCGUCGGUUCAAGAACCACCUGUAGUUCUAGUACAGAACUUGAGAAAAGAAUAUCGACAAAGAGAUACCGGAUCAUGCAGUUGUUGCUCUAAACAAGAUGAAGAUGCCACUACUCAGAUACAACGAAAGGUUGCUGUAAGAAAUCUGUCUUUAGCGGUUGAACCGGGAGAAGUACUUGGCUUACUGGGUCAUAACGGUGCUGGUAAAACAACGACUAUGAAGAUUAUCAUAGCAGAAGAAGCAGCCACUCGAGGAAGAGUACAGAUCGGUGGUCAUAAUAUCAAUUCCAAUAUGGCAGAGGCUUUCAGACAAAUGGGAUAUUGCCCUCAACAUGAUGCUCAAUGGAAAAAUAUCACUGUCAGAGAGCAUUUGGAAUGCUAUGCUGCGAUUCGUGGUGUGCCAUGGGGAGAUGUCGAUAGUAUUGUGGAUUUAUAUCUCACUGGUCUUCAAAUUCAUGAACAUGCCAAUAAACAAACUCAAGAAUGUUCGGGUGGAACCAGGAGGAAACUCAGUUUUGCCAUGGCGAUGAUAGGUGGUCCGAAAGUUGUCCUAAUGGAUGAACCUAGUACAGGAAUGGAUCCUAGAUCAAAGCGAUUUUUAUGGGAUACCAUUCUUGCUAGUUUUCAGGGUGGUAGAGGAGCGAUUUUAACGACUCAUUCAAUGGAGGAAGCUGACGCUUUGUGUUCUAGAGUCGGUAUAAUGGUGAAAGGGGAACUGAGGUGUAUCGGUUCAACGCAACACUUGAAAAAUCUAUACGGUGCUGGAUACACCCUAGAAAUGAAACUUUUAGGGGGUGACUGCACACCUACGACACCUUCUGGUGAUAGGAUUACGAGUUUGAAAGAGUUCGUUUCUAGUCUUUUUCCAGAUGCAACUCUGGAGGAAAGUUUUGCUGACAGAUUAGUUUUCGCUGUUCCCCAACAUGCAGUUAACUCGCUGGCCGAGUGUUUCAUGCAGUUGGAAAAAGCCAAGCUUGAGUUGGACAUCGAAGAGUACAGCUUCAGCCAAACUACUUUGGAACAAGUUUUCCUUAAAUUUUCUCACUACGAUGAAUCUAACUCAGGAGAAUGAUGACUCGUAAAUAUGAGUGUGUUAAUUCCCAUAUGUUAUAUAGUGAAAUACUCAUGGAACUGCUCAAGUCGUGCAAGAAGUGUAAAGAAGUUAUUCUUAUGGAGAAAAGUGAUUUGUUUUCUAGUGUUUCCAGGUUAAUACUAUUGGAAAUCAUUAAGACAGAAUGAUUUCUGCAUUCUAAAUAUCAAAAAAAGAAAAACGUUAUAAUAGUUAUAUAAAAACCUCGUAUUGUUGUUUGAUGCAUACGUGGAAGAUAUAUGUCCUUGUUUUUGGUCUUGACGAUAAUUGUGAGUGGAAUAUUCGUAUUUUUACGAUAUACAUCGAUCGACCUAAUGCAAAGAGAAGAAAAACAAAAUUAAAUGAUAUUUUUUGUGCCGGUGUUCUGUCCGUUUAUGUUCAUCAGAAUUACAGUGGCGUCCUGAAGUGACUACGGUGAUGAGAUAAAUGAACUUGUGUGUAAAAUCAAUGAGCUGUAAAUAGUGGAAAAAUCGAACGAUAUGUCCGAUUGUCAACAGAAGCGGGAACUUGCAAACUUAUUCGUCAGCCAGAAACAAAACGAUAUCAAUCUUCAAAAGUUCGUAUGAAGGGGUACUCUCUAAAUAUAUCACAUAUAUGGAGAUCAUAUAGCGAGACUACGCUGUAUGUAUAUUUUAUAGCUGUCUUAUAUUGUGAUUAAAAGUUAUUUGCAUAAAACCAAUUUUGUACAAAUGUUUAAUUAUAAUAGUACAUUAAAAAAUAAUAAAACAUUGGAAAAGAAAGAUUGAACAAACGAUACACAAUGUUUUUCAUAAGCUUUAUUAUUUUCAUCAGGAUUUACUGAACACAAAAACUAAAUUUAUAUAAUGUUUAUACGAUUAAAAAUGUGUAGUUAUAUACAAAUUAAUUAAUUUCAAUUCCAUAUAAAACUUUAUAUAAACCAAUUGCUGCAUUUUACGUUAUACAAAGAAACGAAAAUUUUUAUUAUUACAUAAAUAACACUACUGUCAGAAAACUAUUAUAAUAACGUAUAUUUGUCCUCCAUUCGUAUUUACACAAAAAUCUUUUACGUAUACUUAUGCAUACACAUAUGUAUACGUAUACGUAGACACACGUGCAUAACGUACUAUAUGCUUUUUAUUGAAUAAACUUGCAUCUAAUAAAAGUGUUCGUGAUAUUUUGUGAAGUGCAAAAUGUAUCAAAAAUUUUCAAUUGCCCUUAACGAUAGCGAGUAUCUUUUAAUAAGGUAUAUAGAUGAUUUAUUUACUACUAACAAUUGUCGAUAAUAAUAUUAAUAAUAAUUAAGUCUGUAAAAGGACAUUAGGUCCCCCGCUUCAAAUAAAUAAAUUUACAAUAUCGAAUUUAUUGUAUUAUUGUUAUAUUGCAAUAAAUAUGUGUAUAUCAGACGGUUUACAAAAUUGCAAACAAAAUGUUAUUUAUAAAUAGUUCAUUUUCUAAUAGCCACGUUAACAAAUCAUUCUGACAAUGAAAAUUUGAUUUUAUAAUUUUAAUGAAGACAGUUUUCUAAAAGUCUGUUAAAAGUUCUAAUCAAUUUAAGAAUAAAUAUCUGUCAUGCAUAAUGAAAGUCCAUCAUUCAUUUUUUAUUGUAACAUUUUGCUUUUACAAUCAAAACUUCAUUUAUUUUAAAAUAUUUAUAGUUUGUGAAUAAUUACAAAAAAUAAUUUCAAAAAUGUGCUUUUAGAAAACUAUGCUCUCGUUACAGAAUUCAUAUUUACUACUUCUAUACAAGCAUAUUAUUGAAAACCCUUAAAUUCUUUACAGUUUCUAUAUUUUAGGUACAAAUUCCUUUAUGAUAAAUUUUUAUAAAUGCAGUGACAAACUUUUUUUUCAUUAUAACAACAGAUAAACCUAAUAAAACCUUGUUUAUUCAAAGUUUAUGAAAAUAUAAAAUUGUUUUCUUGAAUUUUAAAAGUUUAUCUUUUGUUUGAAGAAAUUGUUCACAUAACAUGUAUUUCAUUUUAUACAGUGAUAUCAAGUAUUAACAAGGUUUUAUUAUCCCUACUAACAUUUUAUUAUGGAAAGUAUCUAUUAUAUCGUAAAUUU
rnacentral:misc_RNA from 1 species